UUCUUAUCCAGAGAGAUGGAGGGAUUUGGCCCUUUGAAGUCUCAGCAACCGGCCUUUGGCAAUGGUGCUAAUUCCAAUAGGUAAUGUACCUAGGAGAUAAGAA
rnacentral:ncRNA from 2 species